rnacentral:rRNA from 1 species
AUUGAACGCUGGCGGAAUGCUUUACACAUGCAAGUCGAGCGGCAGCGCGGGGGCAACCGUGGCGGCGAGCGGCGAACGGGUGAGUAAUGCAUCGGAACAUGUCCAUGUCGUGGGGGAUAGCCCGGCGAAAGCCGGAUUAAUACCGCAUACGCCCGAGAGGGGGAAAGUGGGGGGACCGCAAGGCCUCACGCGAUUGGGUUGGCCGAUGUCCGAUUAGCUUGUUGGUGAGGUAAAGGCUUACCAAGGCGAUGAUCGGUAGCUGGUCUGAGAGGAUGAUCAGCCACACUGGGACUGAGACACGGCCCAGACUCCUACGGGAGGCAGCAGUGGGGAAUUUUGGACAAUGGGGGCAACCCUGAUCCAGCCAUUCCGCGUGAGUGAAGAAGGCCUUCGGGUUGUAAAGCUCUUUUGUCCGGAGCGAAACGGUACGGGUGAAUAUCCCGUGCUACUGACGGUACCGGAAGAAUAAGCACCGGCUAACUACGUG